rnacentral:hammerhead_ribozyme from 1 species
CUGAAGAGUCCCAAACAGGACGAAACAGUCGUC